rnacentral:rRNA from 1 species
CCUACGGGUGGCAGCAGUGGGGAAUAUUGGGCAAUGGGCGCAAGCCUGACCCAGCAACGCCGCGUGAAGGAAGAAGGCUUUCGGGUUGUAAACUUCUUUUGUCAGGGAAGAGUAGAAGACGGUACCUGACGAAUAAGCCACGGCUAACUCCGUGCCAGCAGCCGCGGUAAUACGUAGGUGGCAAGCGUUGUCCGGAUUUACUGGGUGUAAAGGGCGUGUAGCCGGGUUGACAAGUCAGAUGUGAAAUCCUGCGGCUUAACCGCAGAACUGCAUUUGAAACUGUUGAUCUUGAGUACUGGAGAGGAAGACGGAACUCCUAGUGUAGCGGUGAAAUGCGUAGAUAUUAGGAGGAACACCAGUGGCGAAGGCGGUCUGCUGGACAGCAACUGACGGUGAGGCGCGAAAGCGUGGGGAGCAAACAGGAUUAGAUACCCCAGUAGUC